UCUCUAUCUGGAGAUCACUCCCCUUGGAGCCCUUCUGUGAGCCCAGGACACAGAAGAAUUUUUUUGGCUGCUGCACUGGAGACAAGAGAAACUAAGUGUGAACAAAGCCAUACGAUCAGCUGUCAUAAAUGAAUUUUGGGACAGAGCACUACAAAUCACAUUGUGUAGUUCAGUAAUGUUGGUUAUCACUUCACUAUUCUGAGCACUUUUUGGAAUAUGCUACUAUUUAAACGCAUCAUCAUGGCUCAAAGCAUCUUUUGUGACCGACUUUGAUAUGACCAUCAACUACCAUCAUUUGUGUUUCUUUUCUCCAAAUAUAAUUUCAAAGAGAAGAUAAUUAUUACUAUUAAGAUCUUUUUCCAUGCUAAAACAGUUGCAGAAAUGGACUAGGUAUGAUGUUUUAGAAGUGGAUAUGUGAUUAAGUCAUCUUAAAUAUUUAAGCUUUCCAUGUACUCCAACAAUGUGAAUGUUUCUUUUGAUAUUUGUUAUCUGUGUUUAGAAGGUUUAAAAUUCCAAGCUACUGUCUGAAGCUUCUGGCAGCUUCUAAAGAAGUGUAUUUGACCUGAAAGGAAAACUAUUGCUAAGAUGACUUCAAUAUUUUUCUCUGCAAAGUGUCUUUGUAAUGCACAGCCCACUUCAUGAAUUUGGAACUGCCUCAAACUUUUAACGUUUGGUUUUGAAAAUUUCUGUUGUAAACAUUAAAAAAUAUGCUGAAAUUCUAUUACCAAGUGUGUUUCAAAGCAAAACAAGGCACAGAUUUAGAAUUAUUUUCAGUUAUAUAAACUGUUAUGACAGAGCUAUCUGAUAGUCAUGCUGAGCCUAAAGCCCAUUUGAGAACUUAGUUUGAUGUAUUUGUGAUUGUGAGUGUAUGUGUUGCAGUAACUGAAUGGAGCUGAGGUAAUUUAUCUAAAAUUAUGGCAGGCAUCUUUCUAACUCAAUUGAUCACCACUCUUGCUAUUCUCAGGAAAGUAUGAGAUGAUUUUUAAAAGGGCUGCUGUAAGCAAAUGUUAUCUCAGGGAUUGAUGGGAUGCUUAUCUUAAAAAAUAAAAUAAGUUAUGACUUCUAAAAUUUCAGUU
ensembl:lncRNA